rnacentral:lncRNA from 10 species
CGGGGCCGGGGCUGGGCGGGCGCUGGGCCGUGAACAAUGAGCAGAGGAGGAAACUCCGCCCUGGAGCGCGACGGGCGGGAGGGCCGGCGGCCUCCGCGCCUUGGGGGGCUGUGUGUGCGCGGGGGCCAGGGCGGGGGGCUCCUGCGGUGCAGCCGGGCCCCGUCCACAGGUGUCCCGAACAGGUGUGUCCCCCCGAGUGCUUCUAAGUGGGCCCGGCGGGAUCCCCCAGCACACCGCCGGGGCCCUCGCACUACGAGCAAAUCCGGAGCGGGCGGACCCCCAGCCUUGCGUGGUAACUGAUAACCAUUCACGGCCUCCCGGGCUGCUGCGCGUUCUGCAGCGACCCCGGAGAAGCUCAUCUCCCACCUGCCAAGUGCAAUUCACCUGCCUGUGGGGCCCCCAUCCCGCACGGCUUCUGAGCGGGGUCUCUCUGCAGCUAGGUGUGCAGCGGGCAAGCUGGACUAAUUCACUCCUUCACCUCUCCAAGGCACAGCAUCUGGCCCAGGUUGAGGGCUCAGUAGUUGCAAUAUUGGCAUUCAGUAAUAAGAACAACGUGAAUGCUAUCUGGAGUCCACCAAUCCUUACCGUGUGUGCUAGCACUGAGCUACGUGUUUUACAUGGAUGGGCCCAUUGGAUCUUCACAACAACUCCACGAGCACGUGUGGGUCAUGCAUUUCCAGAUUUGGUUCUUUGUGUGUGCAGUACUGCCCCCUCCACGACACUCAGAGCUCCAUGAGACCUCGGGCCAUGUCUCUGUCUUCACACCUACACCUGAGGCCUAGCAUGUGCCUGGCCUUAGUAGGUGCUCAAUAAAUACUGGCUGGAUGAAUGAAUCUUCCUCCAAAGCAGAGGGAGGAUGUUGCCUCAUGUUCAUUGCUGACUCCCAGCUCCUAGAAGAAGCUCCACAAAUGUUUGCUGAUUGAAAUAAUGAUGAACACUAAGAUGGUGGAUUCUGCCACAAGUGAUUCUAGGGACCAGGAUGAGCAUCACACUUGGCUGGGAUCCUGGAGGAUAGAGAAUGAGUGAAAGAUUACACAUUGCAAGCUACCUUUAAGAAAGGACCACUUGUUGAGUUUUGGUAUGCAAAGAAGAAUAUCCAGAAUUAUCUGCAACAGCUAUUAAAAUAUUCCUCACUUUCUCAACUACAAAUCUGCAAAGCUGGAUUUUCUUCAGAUACUUCAAUAAAAAGAAUACAUCACAGCAGACUGAAUAUAGAAGCAGAUGAGAAACCAAUUGUCUUUUUUUUUUUGAGACGGAGUUUCGCUCUUGUUGCCCAGGCUGGAGUGCAAUGGCGUAAUCUUGUUUCACUGCAAUCUCCACCCCCGGGUUCAAGCAAUUCUCCUGCCUCAGCCUCCCAAGCAGCUGAGAUCACAGGCGUGCACCACCACAAGUAGCUGAGAUUACAGGCGUGCGCCACCACACCCGG